UUUGGCUCUUGCUAAAUUACUUUGUCAUUUUAACGGCGUCGCGUAAGUUAUGUUAUAAUGCUAAUGCAACUAGUAGUUGAAAGUUUCUUUGUUUAUCGUUAAGUAGCUUAUUACCAGCAACACGCUGUGACUUUCAAAGAGUACUUCUUAAUGACAUGCAUUAGAUGUUAGUGGCGAGGUGGGGUUCUUGAAAGCAUGAAAGCUUGUUGAUUUUCUUCUUUUCUUCUACUUUUUCUGAAUACUUGUUGGAAGUGAAUCGUGCAUUUUGAGAAAUUCUGAUGUAAACUGAAGUGGAUCCUGCUAUCCGUUUAUGUAUUUUUAAGAUCUGAAAUGAAGGUGCGGCUAUUACAGCAGUAAUGGUAUUUAAAAGUAUGGAUUGAAUGCUGUACUGAGGUAAUCUCAAUAUUUUAUGUAUUUCAGUGAGGUGCAGUUGAAAACAUUGCAAAAACUGUUUUAAAAAUCAUUAAAACAGAGUCCGCUCGUGUUCAGCUGAGUCACAGAGCUGCCAGUGCGUCAGUGAACAGGUUUGAUCAUUUGAUUACUUUGAUACAUUUUAAAAGUAACUGUAAAUUUCAAAAUCAGAGUCUUUGUUUAAUCUUGUCAAGUAUUAAUGUCAUAACAAAAGAGAAAAGAGAGAAUCAACCUCUGAUUGGAAGGAUGACGCAGACCACAUUUGCCCUGAGACGACAGACCAUCAUCCAAUCCAGCCCACCAGUGAAAGAGAUCCUGGACCCCUGGCCCGCUCUGCGCAUAGAGUCGGAGAAUAUCACUACACGUGUAUUUCAUGGCCCACAUAAUGCUUGGGAUGUUUCAGGGUUAGGACAUUGACGACACCUUGAUUUGCUGCUGCUAAGGGGGUGACAUUGUUUGGAUCACAAUGCAGGGUUUGCUGUUUGGUUUAGUCACCAUACUUUGGACACAGUUUGCGCCACCACCACGUACUCAAAGCUUCAUGAUGCUCCAACAAUGAUGGACGGAUUAAAAGGCAGAAGUCUACGUGACCAUCAUCAUCAUCAAGCCCUUCCGAAUUACAUGAUAUACACAGACGACGUGCAGCUGUUCUCCAAGCACUUCCUGUGUUUCUGCUGUGGAUUUUUGAGAACAGGUAAGGUCGGUUAUAAACUUAUCACACAUUUUAGACUUUAAACAUCCUGCUUGUGAUUGUGUAUUCUUUUAAGUUAUUGAUUGUGAAAGAGCUGUGUUUCCAUUUCUUUCAGGAUAUUAUUGAUGAGGCCGAGCUUGUGAAUGCCCCUUAUUACAGUGCACAGGGACAACGCCAGCCGUCCAGUUCACUGCCAGUCUGAAACAUUCUUGGCUGUUACUGAAAGUGAAGCUGUGGUGACCCUUCCCAGGUUUGUGGAUGCCCUUGUGCUAAUGUUCAGUCUCCUAUAUGCUCGACAUCUCAGUUAUCCCAAAGGACUGGCAAACACUUUGGAAUUCUUUGAAAAGAUUGUGCUUAGUUUGGAAGAUGGCAAAUUGUCACCCAGACUGCAGACUCUCAAGAAUGAUUUGAUGGUCAAUACCUAGAAACUGAUCUGAGAAAGUCAUGUCCAGCCUUUAGAGAACUGUAUUGAAAUAACACACUUUGUUUGAUGUGUGAUAUUCUGAGGCACAGGAGUUGUUAAAUGUUGCCUGUUUCACUCCGUCUCGCCACAAAUGUUGAGUUUGAACCAGCGUACUGAGCUCGGAAGAAUUCAAUAUGUUCAUGUAAUGUAGCAAUUUCUAUCAAGCUUCACAAAUAACAUGCACUACUUCAUGGCAGCCUGUAGACUCGUCCUUUGUGGGUGUCAUUGUAGAGUUUCUUAACUUGAAAAGACAAUUUCAAAUCCAAUAUUCUUAAUGACAUGAGAGGAAGUCCAAGAUGUGCACGUAUUAAAUUGUCCUUCAGUCUGAAAAUUGUUACAAUCUGUAGCAUAAUGAAUGGGACAGUUGGGGACACAAAAAUCCUGCAAUCCAGAGCAUUCGAUCUGACACUGAUGUAGAGGUAGCCAGAAGAAGUAGAAAGGGUUCAAAGUUAAAGAAGGUCGCGUUCUUUUAGGUAACCUGCAGCUCUGUCUGUGUGUGUUUUGUAUUUUUAGGAUCGCAUUUUAUUAAUGUUGCAGUAAAUAAUGUUCAAAUAAAACUUUUGAAUGACAACAGUACAUGCCUGAGUUUUAUUUAAUUAAAGGUGUAAUUACAACUUAAUACAUUUUGUCUUUAGAUAACUCGAAAUAGGCAAUGCUUUUAACUUAUCAUUUUUGAGUUACACUUUCUUAAUUUGAUCUGAGAAUAACAUUUUUAAUUAUUAUUACAUAUUACUAAAAUAUUUGAGUAUAGUAAUUUAACCUGAGUUAAAUAUUACAAGUCACUUACUCAAAAUAGGUUUGAAAAAAUUAACAUUUUAAGUUCAUUAAUGUAAUUUUUUGUGAAAACGUAUUGCCUCGUUUUUUUUUUUUUUUUUGUUUGUUUUGCUAACUUGUUUGGGUUUACAGUGAAAGCGUCCUUAACUGAAUCUGCACAUACUGUACACCGACUUCUGUACUGAUGGUAAGCCAUUUAAAUGUCCUUGAAACACUCAAACUCCAAGUGCUGUGUCAAAUGUUUUAGGAAUACAAGACUUGCUUUCAUUUGGUUUGAAUUUUUUUUUUUUUUCUCUAUUUUGGACGAUCCUGCGAUUUUUCAAGACGGUUCCUGCUGAGCGUAGAUCAAAAUAUUGUCUGCCCUGUGCAGGAUGUUUGGGAGCUCUUAUCGCUUUGGCACCCGUUACCCGUCAGAGCUGGCAUCAACCCUGGAGUUCCUGCAGAGGUGUGUCUUUUUGAAUUGGCUUUAACUCAUUUUUACACUUUACUGAACUGAAGCAAAUCUAAAGUAGCUGCUGCAUGUAACUUCAAGGUUAACGUGUCAUUGUACGUCUUACUUUUAUAAGAGGCUUUCAAAUAUUAGCUAGACUUUUUUUUUUUUCUUGUCAAUAAAGUGGGUUUGUUAUUAAUAUGCUCGUCUGUGUUUCUUCUUUUUCCCAAGGUGUUUGUGUUUUUUUUUGUUUUUUUCUGCCAACCCAGAGAAGGGCACUGAAGUGCAGAAGACAAACAAAUCACGUCUUCAUGUGAACCCCGCGGUCCUUACCUUGAUUCAAGAACUUUGGGAUCCUGAGUGGCGUGACGUCUGACUAUGGACAGUAAUAUUGAGGGUAUUUAUUGAUGCGCCUCACUCGUAGUUUGAAUUUCUGUUUCAGUUCAUUUUCUGCUCAGCUGUCCAAGUUCAAGAGGCAAGUAAAAGUUUCAGACAAAAUUGUUACAAAGUGUGUAAGAGUUGUAUUGGUCUUGUAUUUCAUAAAUCACCCCAAUCCUAUUAUGUGAUGUCAUCCACUGUUGUAUUGUGCUCUGUACUUCUAAAAUGUUUAUUUUUAUACUGUA